AUAAUAUUAUAAAAUUUAUCGACUCCCACCCCACGCCCACUACAGAACCUAAAAUAUUUCCAAUCCCUUCUCUCUUUUCCAUUCGCUCUUCUCUCAGAGGCCACCUCCGAUUUGGCGCUCAUAUAGCUACCACACGAAAUGGUCAUGAUGGAAAAAACGUCGCUACAUGCAGAAUCUUCUAUUCAUCUCAAUCUUCUCUCAUAGGACCGCUGUGCUCCUAGCUAAAGCCCUAGAUGAGGGAGUUACGCGACGUAGUAGAUUCAUAGGUGGAUGACACCCCUGGUUUUUUGAUAUGCCGCGAUCUAGUUUAUUGGGUUUGUUGGUAUACUAUGCCUGAAAUGAAGCCCUAGAUGGGCUAUGCGGCGGUGUAGAUUCGUUAAUUAAAGAUGUCGUUGGUUUGGCUAGUAUAUCGCGAUCUGGUGCACGAUGGCGCUAGUUUCGAGUUCUGUUGUUCAUCCGCCUGUUGUCGUUGCUUGGCACGAUUUGGUACUCGACGGUACUGCGCGUAAUCUGUGAUGACGGUGGUAUGUGUGCAUAGUUUGUGGUGGUACCGUAGUGGUGGCUUUUGUUAGGUUUGUUGGUUUUUGGAGUGGUGGUGGUUUUUCAUGUUCUGUUCCUAAGGUAGUUUUUGUUGACGAUGGCGAUGGCAGUGUUUAUGAUGGUAGCAAUGGCGUGAGCAACGACGAUGCACGAUGAUUGGGAUAAAGAAUAUUUGUGACCAAGUAUUAGUGGUG
rnacentral:lncRNA from 1 species